GGUGAGUAUAGCUCAAUUGGUAGAGCGUUAGAUUGUGGAUCUAAAGGUCAUAGGUUCGAUUCCUAUUAUUUACC
rnacentral:tRNA from 1 species